UACGUAGGGCGCAAGCGUUAUCCGGAAUUAUUGGGCGUAAAGCGCGUGUAGGCGGCCAGGUAAGUCCGUUCUGAAAGCCCGGGGCUCAACCCCGGGAGGCGGAUGGAUACUGCUUGGCUCGAGUCCGGAAGAGGCGAGUGGAAUUCCCGGUGUAGCGGUGAAAUGCGCAGAUAUCGGGAGGAACACCAAUGGCGAAGGCAGCUCGCUGGGACGGUACUGACGCUGAGACGCGAAAGCGUGGGGAGCAAACAGG
rnacentral:rRNA from 1 species